GACGAACGCUGGCGGCGUGCUUAACACAUGCAAGUCGAACGGAAAGGCCCUGCUUUUGUGGGGUGCUCGAGUGGCGAACGGGUGAGUAACACGUGAGUAACCUGCCCUUGACUUUGGGAUAACUUCAGGAAACUGGGGCUAAUACCGGAUAGGAACUCCUGCUGCAUGGUGGGGGGUGGAAAGUUUCGGCGGUUGGGGAUGUACUCGCGGCUUAUCAGCUUGUUGGUGGGGUAGUGGCUUACCAAGGCUUUGACGGGUAGCCGGCCUGGGAGGGGGGCCGGCCACAUUGGGACUGAGAUACGGCCCAGACUCCUACGGUAGGCAGCAGUGGGGAAUAUUGCACAAUGGGCGGAAGCCUGAUGCAGCAACGCCGCGUGCGGGAUGACGGCCUUCGGGUUGUAAACCGAUUUCGCCUGAGACGAAGCGUGAGUGACGGUAAUGGGAAAAGAAGCACCGGCUAACUACGUG
rnacentral:rRNA from 1 species